AGAAUGAACGCUGGCGGCGUGCUUAACACAUGCAAGUCGAACGAAAUCCAAGGAGCUUGCUCUGGAAGAUUUAGUGGCGAACGGGUGAGUAUCACGUGAGCAACCUGCCCCGAAGACUGGGAUAACACCGGGAAACCGGUGCUAAUACCGGAUACCUUCCAAUGACCGCAUGGUCGAUGGAAGAAAUGUUUUUCGCUUCGGGAGGGGCUCGCGGUCCAUCAGCUUGUUGGCGGGGUAACGGCCCACCAAGGCUUCGACGGAUAGCUGGUCUGAGAGGACGAUCAGCCACACUGGAACUGAGACACGGUCCAGACUCCUACGGGAGGCAGCAGUGGGGAAUCUUGCGCAAUGGACGAAAGUCUGACGCAGCAACGCCGCGUGAGGGACGAAGGUUUUCUGAAUUGUAAACCUCUUUCGACAGGGACGAUAAUGACGGUACCUGUAGAAGAAGCACCGGCCAACUAUGUGCCAGCAGCCGCGGU
rnacentral:rRNA from 1 species